rnacentral:rRNA from 1 species
GAUGAACGCUGGCGGCGUGCCUAAUACAUGCAAGUCGAGCGAACAGACGAGGAGCUUGCUCCUCUGACGUUAGCGGCGGACGGGUGAGUAACACGUGAAUAACCUACCUAUAAGACUGGGAUAACUUCGGGAAACCGGAGCUAAUACCGGAUAAUAUAUUGAACCGCAUGGUUCAAUAGUGAAAGACGGUUUUGCUGUCACUUAUAGAUGGAUCCGCGCCGCAUUAGCUAGUUGGUAAGGUAACGGCUUACCAAGGCAACGAUGCGUAGCCGACCUGAGAGGGUGAUCGGCCACACUGGAACUGAGACACGGUCCAGACCCCUACGGGAGGCAGCAGUAGGGAAUCUUCCGCAAUGGGCGAAAGCCUGACGGAGCAACGCCGCGUGAGUGAUGAAGGUCUUCGGAUCGUAAAACUCUGUUAUUAGGGAAGAACAAAUGUGUAAGUAACUAUGCACGUCUUGACGGUACCUAAUCAGAAAGCCACGGCUAGCUACGUG